rnacentral:rRNA from 1 species
GGCGGGGUCACGCCCCGGGUGCGUCGCAGCCCCGGAACCAGGCGCCCGCCGGAGGGACCAACCAAACUCUUUCUGUAGUCCCCUCGCGGACGUUAUUUCUUACAGCUCUGAGCAAAAAUUCAAAAUGAAUCAAAACUUUCAACAACGGAUCUCUUGGUUCUGGCAUCGAUGAAGAACGCAGCGAAAUGCGAUAAGUAAUGUGAAUUGCAGAAUUCAGUGAAUCAUCGAAUCUUUGAACGCACAUUGCGCCCGCCAGUAUUCUGGCGGGCAUGCCUGUCCGAGCGUCAUUUCAACCCUCGAACCCCUCCGGGGGGUCGGCGUUGGGGAUCGGGAACCCCUAAGACGGGAUCCCGGCCCCGAAAUACAGUGGCGGUCUCGCCGCAGCCUCUCCUGCGCAGUAGUUUGCACAACUCGCACCGGGAGCGCGGCGCGUCCACGUCCGUAAAACACCCAA